rnacentral:rRNA from 1 species
ACUCCUACGGGAGGCAGCAGUGAGGAAUAUUGGUCAAUGGGCGCAAGCCUGAACCAGCCAUGCCGCGUGCAGGAAGACUGCCUUAUGGGUUGUAAACUGCUUUUAUAUGGGGAAAGAAACCCCUCUACGUAGUAGAGGCUUAGGUUAGCACGGGUAACCCAAUAAGAAAUAAGCACCGGCUAACUCCGUGCCAGCAGCCGCGGUAAUACGGAGGGUGCAAGCGUUAUCCGGAAUCAUUGGGUUUAAAGGGUCCGCAGGCGGUCAAUUAAGUCAGAGGUGAAAUCCUAUAGCUUAACUAUAGAACUGCCUUUGAUACUGGUUGACUU